ensembl:lncRNA
CUCAAACAUUAUCAGCGAUAGUGGCAAUGACUGAGCUGCAGAAUCUGCUGCAUUCACAUCUGCAGCGAUAAAACCGUACAGACAGCCUUCUUCAAAUAACGCAGCAGCUAUUUUGCAGUAUAUAAACAUGGCGGUUUACCAACAUGCAUCAGCGCGUUAUGAUCAUCUAUAUAUAGAUGUCAAGUCGUAGAGCAUCUCUUCGGAACUACAUAUAUGCCACCUCUGUCUAUGCUGGCCUCGCCUGCGACCCGUACUGGACGUGUGAAGACUGGUGGCAGGGUGUUUGUACUGGACCUCAAACACCGAGCCCACUGACAGCUUGCUUAAUAAACAACAUGGGAAGAAGGACAUUCUCAGGAGUAUGCAGGAAUGGUCCACAAUUCCUCUACUGAUCCAAACAGCAUGCUCCAUUCGACCACAAAACUGCAAAUUUCACAGUAUGUCAAGCACCUGGCCAAACUGCUGAACACCAGUUCAUCAUUAAACAGCUCCAGAGAAACGUCUUUAAAGCAAGAAGUAAAACAACCAGAGUGCCACUGGUAACAAUGAAGCCUGUGGAUGUAAACCCAGCACCACCUGCUCUGACCACACUCCUAACUCAUGACACCACUGAGAGAAUUGUAUUAUGCAGCAGCAGCAACCUGAGCAGGAGAAGAAGAAACAAACAAAGACUUCUCUUGCUUGUGGACAGCCAAAGAUGGUUCCUCUAUUUACUUUUUUUAAUCAGCAAGGCCCUGUCAGGUACUUCUGUUCCACAAAGGUUUUUAAUGCUUACAGUGAUUAAGGACUAACACAUCCCAGAAUGCCAUUACAAGACUUUAUAGAAACGGAGUUCUUUAAGAGUGAACUUGAGGAAACAAAGUAAUGGAUGGAGGAGAGAGGACAGCAAAAACGCAAAAGACCUGAAACCGAACACGUUGGUCGCUUGUGCAGAUUGUGUAAAAUGGAACUGAAGCGGGGCCUUAACAGUCCUCACAUACACACAGGCUUUCCUGGCGUAGCAGGGAAAUAUGUUCAUUGCCCUGCUACAGUCUUUUCCAUUUACUAACCUCAGGGCAUGCAGAAAGAAAUGACCUGGAAAAAGUUUAAAGAGUCUGUAUUUUACAAGAUGG